ACCUGCGUAGUGCAAAUGGUUAAUGUGCUCAGCUGCUAACCGAAAGACUGGUGGUUUGAGUCCACCCGGAGGCA
rnacentral:tRNA from 1 species